GUUUCGGUAGCUCAGUGGUAGAGCGUGAGAUUGCAAUUUCCUAUCGAAUAUUGUGAUCUAUCUCAAGGCCUCGGGUUCGAUCCCCGAUCGGAACU